rnacentral:rRNA from 1 species
GCGAGUGAAGAGGGAAAAGCUCAAAUUUAAAAUCUGGCAGCUUUGCUGUCCGAGUUGUAAUUUAGAGAAGUGAUGCCCGCGCUGGACCGUGUAUAAGUCUCCUGGAAUGGUGCGUCAUAGAGGGUGAGAAUCCCGUCUUUGACACGGACUCCCAGUGCAUUGUGGUACGCUCUCAAAGAGUCGUGUUGUUUGGGAAUGCAGCACUAAAUGGGUGGUAAAUUCCAUCUAAAGCUAAAUAUUGGCGAGAGACCGAUAGCAAACAAGUACCGUGAGGGAAAGAUGAAAAGAACUUUGGAAAGAGAGUGAAACAGUACGUGAAAUUGUUGAAAGGGAAACGCUUGAAGUCAGUCGCAUUGUCUGGGAAUCAGUCUUGCUUUUGCUUGAUGUACUUUCCAGUUAAUGGGUCAGCAUCAGUUUUGAUCGUUGGAUAAAGGCUGAAGGAAUGUGGCAUCUCCGGAUGUGUUAUAGCCUUCAGUUGCAUACAACGGUUGGGACUGAGGAAUUCAGCACGCCGAAAGGCCGGGUCUUGUACCACGUUCGUGCUUAGGAUGCUGGCAUAAUGGCUUUAAUCGAC